ACUCUGUUCUCAUUGACAGUAAAGCAGGGUUGAAAUCAGGCUUGAGGUUUCUCAGUCAUAAAUAGACUCUGAGUACAGCAAGGUUAACUUCUGUUACCAGAAAGUAAAGCAGAGUUGAAGUUUGUCAUUCAAACAUAGACUCUGAGAACAGCAAGGUUAUUAACUUCUGUUACCAGCAAGUAAAGCAGGGUUGAAGUUUGUCAUUCAAACAUAAACUCUGAGAACAGCAAGAUUAACUUCUGUUACCAGCAAGGAGCUGGUAGCUGCUUCUGAGAGGGAACAGAUGCCUGCAGUGGCAGAGAGGGCCAAACUCACCGGCACCUCUUCUGGAAUGUUGACCCGGUCUGGAGAGAAGCAUCACCAUCUGGAGAGGCAGAGGGAGGUGACUAGGGCACUGGUCAUCAAGAGAGAUCACAUUGAGUGAGGGAAUAAUCAUCUUUCCUUCACUCUACGAGAACCACAACUUGCUGACAAAUUAGAAAAUAUAAUGUCACCAUGGACAACUGUAGAAAAAAUAUAGACUGU